UGUAUCCCUCAGCCAAUACAGCCGCACAUUAUGGUGCCAUACUGCAAGUCUCCAGACCAUGCUGCCCAUGGACCAGAGGAGCUUCAACUCAGGGUUGAAUUUCACAGUUUGAACAUGGUGCUUCUUUACUUCUCAUGGCUAAAAGAAUCAAGACUAGUUAAGUGCAAUUCUCAAUUUGAUGAAGAAAUGGUUUCUAAAAUUUGGAAGCCAGUCCUUUUGAAAGGCGGUGAACUCCUCUGGGGAGAUAAGAGCGUGCCAAGUCCUGAGCUUUUUUUCAAAACUGGUAAAAAGUCAACUCCACGAUAUCGUAGCGCAAGGUUUACAUUGAAUGUCACCUGAUGAAGCCAGUGCAUCCCUAGAGGCUACUGGCAUCAGGGCAACUGGUGAUAAUGAUGCAGGAGCCAUAUCUGCUUUCUGGGCUGAUGGAGUUUAGUUUUUCUGCUCUGCAAAUUCUCCACGAAAGACGUCCAUCAACUGCCACAUACGGAGUCCUUUUGCUAAGAACAAUACGGUGUUCAGGUAAUUUUGCCAUGAGAAAUCCUGUAUCUAUUGUAUAAAAGCAGAUACACUGGCUUUUGGCAUAUAACAAAAAUCUUUCCUGUGGCGGGAAAGAAGACCCCUGUCUAGUAACAAAUCAUUUCUCUCCCCCCAUCCCACCCCAAAGGAAAAAAAAAAAAAGGCAAAAGUCUUUCAAAUGAGAGCUGACAUUUCUUCAUCAUUCUGUGUUUUCUGGUUAUUUAUAUUUCACUGGCAGACAGGCUGCAUGGCUUGUUCUUUGUGCUAAAGAUACCAAGGACAUUUUAUUGUGGCCUGUCUUGCCAGGAAUAAAGUGCAAUAACACUUUCCAGUGGAUCUUUCCUCCCAGUUUGCUCCCUGGAGAAACAAUGCAGCUCCCAGAACCACUGGCCAUACAAACGCAUUACAAAUACAAGAAAGGUCACCUGCUCUUUGCUGUUUCCUCUUUUCUGUCCUCCUGGUAGCCCAUAACACAUCCCUGGUUGCUGGUGAGCCGUGGAGGUUUCAGCCUUUUGAUUUGAGGCUCUGUGAGGGAUGAUGUGAGUCCGGCACAGGUUUGUGAUGCUCCAUAUGGUGGUGCUCUAAGUUGUGCAUGGUGCGGAGGACUGGGGAGCCCCAGAAUGUCCUUGCUGGAUGUGCAGGAAGGGCUCAGGAGAUUUGCUGCCAAGCUUUAAUGUGCCCCAUGUUGAGCACGUUAUGAACUAGUGUAGUUGGGAAGUGUCACAGGCACGUAUGGGUUGUCCUCAGUGAGAAAGUCCUGAGCCAGUGCUGCACUGAGAGCUGCGUAACCACAGGCUGCGAGGCUCCAGCCUUCUGCUUGAUGGGGUGUGAUGAGCCCUUCCUCUCUUCUGGGACAGAACAUACACGCAGAGUUGGAGAAAUCCUGGGGUUUCCCCGUCCUGGGCUAUAGCUUUGUUGACAGACUUAGUUUUCACUUUCACAAAGUAAAUAGAGUAUAUCUCCUGCUUGGCGAUGAUUCAUCUCUCAUUAUGUUUAAUAAUUAGAGUUCCAUGCUUGUCUGCUGCUUCCCCUGUGCUCUGCCAAAAUGAGUGGUCUCCGCUCUGAACAGCUCCAUCUGUUGGCAUUGCAUUGCCAUAUCAAACCCUAUCAAAAAAAAAAAAAAAGUUUUUUUUUUUUUUUUUUUAAAUCCCCCCCACCAACAACCCAGCAGCAAGAAGAAGAUGGAGCCUUUCUGCUUGGACUGUGAAGAGACGUGAUGGGCA
rnacentral:lncRNA from 1 species